CCUACGGGUGGCUGCAGUGGGGAAUAUUGGACAAUGGGGGGAACCCUGAUCCAGCGACGCCGCGUGAGUGAAGAAGUAUUUCGGUAUGUAAAGCUCUAUCAGCAGGGAAGAAAGAAAUGACGGUACCUGACUAAGAAGCCCCGGCUAACUACGUGCCAGCAGCCGCGGUAAUACGUAGGGGGCAAGCGUUAUCCGGAUUUAUUGGGUUUAAAGGGUGCGCAGGCGGAGGCACAAGUCAGCGGUAAAAUCGCGGGGCUCAACCCCGCUCCGCCGUUGAAACUGUGUCCCUUGAGUGCGCGAAGGGUAGGCGGAAUGCGUGGUGUAGCGGUGAAAUGCAUAGAUAUCACGCAGAACUCCGAUCGCGAAGGCAGCCUACCGGCGCGCAACUGACGCUCAUGCACGAAAGCGUGGGUAUCGAACAGGAUUAGAUACCCUAGUAGUC
rnacentral:rRNA from 1 species